rnacentral:misc_RNA from 1 species
ACAUCAGACCUCCACCUCGCAAAACCUUGUAUUUCCCAUGGCGUUCGACGCCUUCUUCUCAUCCCCAGCAGGUGCACAUCUCUUUGGCUGGAGACAAGCACAUUCGAGUGUCAUGGGUCACUGAUGAUAAAUCUUGUCUGUCAACUGUUGAAUAUGGAACUUCACCUGGAAGAUACAGUGCUGUGUCUCAUGGGGAGAGCACAUCUUAUAGUUA